GACGUAGGGGGCCAGCGUUGUUCGGAAUUACUGGGUGUAAAGGGUUCGUAGGCGGUGUGGCAAGUCGGGAGUGAAAUCUCUGGGCUCAACUCAGAGACUGCUUCCGAAACUGCUGUGCUGGAGUGUGGGAGAGGCGCGUGGAAUUGCAGGUGUAGCGGUGAAAUGCGUAGAUAUCUGCAGGAACACCCGUGGCGAAAGCGGCGCGCUGGACCGCUACUGACGCUGAGGAACGAAAGCUAGGGGAGCAAACAGG
rnacentral:rRNA from 1 species